GUAACUCUGCCCUACCAAAAUCAACCCACGUAGUAUGCAGACAUGCCAUCAGAUUACACGUGUUAUUUCGUACUGUCACUCUUGUUUUCUGCCACGUUUUCUGCCCUUUUAGUAAUCUAGAAAAUUUCUGUCAAGUGAGUGAACAUUCUUAUAUGGAAAAUGUUUCUUUAACACUCCUUUUUGACACAAAUUUGAUAUGGUCAGGUGUCAAAUUUCUAUUAGAUGUUGUUACUUAAAUGAAAAAUCGUUGCUGAGGAGGGUAGUUUUGGAAUUAUGAUGAAAUGAAAUUUCAUUUUGGCAGUUUCGUUGUUCACUUUCAUUUUGAACUUUCUCUUCUAUUUGUCUCUUCCAUUCGACUUCAUCUCUCCAAUUCCUUGCAUUCUCCAUUCGGCUUUCAUCUCAUCCGAAGGCCUCAUUUCAACCAAAACAAGAGUUCUUUCACAAUCAUUCUAUUGAGUUUUAAUGGCUUCCAGAAACCCAAAGCUUUAAAGGUGCCCAGUUCAAAGUGGAGCAGAUAUGAAUAAGAACAAAAGAAGUAUCUCUGCAAUCUCACUAAGUAUGAAACAAAAACCAAAUUAUGAAAAUAUUUUAGAUUCCAUCAAAGUAAACUAGAACUGUCCAACUAAAUAUUUAGUUGCCUUAGGAUUGAGCUAGUAGUAAGGGAUUUGGAUAGUUUGCAUCAAGUCAUAGUUUCAGAAUUCAUUGUUACCAAUGUAUAAAAAAUAUUUAGUAAACCCUCUGUAUCAUUCUUCUGCAUACUAUCAGUAGUACCCCCGGGUGUGAAUUUACAAUGUAAAUACUGAAACGAAAACAAAAAGGGGGUAUUGAAGAGAGAUGAUGCACCCUUCCUUUCUCUUUACUGGCUUCUUACCUUUCUGCAUCACAUCCCUCUCCUCCUUUAAUAAUCUAUACAGAUAAACACUCCACCUAAAUACCUUUGUUUACCUUAUUGGUAAUCUGUUACAUAAGUGCACAAAUUGAAACAUGAUGAAGGAUUAAGAAGGAGUGGAUACAUUAUAGAUAAGGAAUUGUGUGAUUUUGUAUGGGGUCUUUGAUGAUCCUUUUGUAAUUUUUUUUAUUUAUUUUGUAAUUAGAAACUCUCUUUGAACAUUAAUGGCCACUAGGAUUAUUAAAUCGCUUGUUGGAUGAACCUAAUUAGUUGGAUGAGCCUAGUGGACUUUGGUCCACAGCAUAGGUAUUUGUUGAAUUUUGUUAAUUAGUUUUGAUUAAUUCGUGUAUGAAGCUUUAUGCUCCUGGAGCUACCUUUUUUGCAAAUCCUAAUAGCAACUUUUUUUUGUAUAACCAUUCAGAAAUGUAAAGCUUCUCUAACUCCAGUUUUAUUACCCAUAUACACAAUAUUUUCAGCAAAGUAUCAAACUACUGUUUUGAGGAAAAGAUAUUUCUUAGGUUCACAGUUUUACUAAAUCAAUCCAUCAACAAAAGAAAAAGAACAGUUCUAGCCUAAAUGUAAAUCCAUAGAUUACCAAUGCUGGUAGACAGUUGAUAUUGUUGUAGUGUGCAUCAAUUGUCCUGUGGUUUAGUCUAUGUGGAACAAGUCAUUUUUUAAUAGUGGUGCUUGGGCUGUUACACAUUUAAAUAGAAAGAGUUUAAACUUUGAUUAUCAGCUAUAACUUUUGAUCUAGGAAUACACAGUGGAGCAAUUGUUCAGGGGGAGAUUGUUGCAGGAUGCAUCAAUUGUCUGUGGCGUAGGCGAGGUGGAUCAAGGCACAAUUGAAUGGUGAUGCUUGGGCUCAUACACUCUUAAGUAGUAAGAGUUGCGCCCUAACCAUCAACUAUACAUAGCUUUUAGUUUAGUAGUAAGCACUCCAUCAAACAACUAUAUCUAUCAUGGUACAUAACAUUGAAAAAUGAUAAGUUUAUGAUCAAACUGUUAUUCAAUGCUUGUUUUUACUUUAGGGCUUUGACAGUGGAACACAUUCAACCUGACAAACCAGAGCAGUAACACAAGCAAGAAUGUUAUGUUUACCAGUCCCCCAUUGUACGAACCUAUGAAAAUUGCUAGUUCAGCAAUUCAGUCAUCUUAUAAUAUCUUAUACAUUCGGGUAUAUUGGAAUUAGAGUUUAAGUUUUGUUGCCACUCCUCAAAAUCUUCAUUGGUCAUAAAAAAAAAUUCUAUUUUAGGUUUCUGCUGCAUAUCAGCUUAUGCUAAUUGCUUUACCAACAUACGCAGUUCCAGAAACAACACAUCCCCACAUAAAACCAUAAGUCACAAGCAAAAAAUUGAACUAAAUCUGUUCACGUUUAGUGUUUACCAAUACCACCACGAUAAGAAUUCUACAAUAGUUUUAUCAUUCAUUAGAGAUUAGAAUAAUCACAUAACAACCGUAGCAAAUAUCUUACAAGAUCUUAAUUUAAUCCGGCUUAAGACUUGUCAAAUAAGUUUGAAAUAAAUAGCCAAUGGACCACUACGGUGUCUACAAAAUAAACCUCCCCCAUUGUUGCUUUUUAUCUAAGCGCAGUUCAAAUGUUACACAAUUAAAAGAACAUAGCAAAAGACAUUUACGUGAUACAAUACAAAUACAUUAAGUAAAUAAUACUAAAGACUAGACAGAAAGUACCAUAUUUGACAGA